rnacentral:tRNA from 1 species
CUAAGAUUUUAAGUUAAAUAAUAAACUAUUAACCUUCAAAGUUAAAAAUAUAGUGUCUAAAGUAAAUCUUAGA